ACGGGAGGCAGCAGUGGGGAAUAUUGCACAAUGGGGGAAACCCUGAUGCAGCAACGCCGCGUGAGUGAUGAAGUAUUUCGGUAUGUAAAACUCUAUCAGCAGGGAAGAAGAUGACGGUACCUGACUAAGAAGCACCGGCUAAAUACGUGCCAGCAGCCGCGGUAAUACGUAUGGAGCAAGCGUUAUCCGGAUUUACUGGGUGUAAAGGGAGCGUAGACGGCGUGGCAAGUCUGAUGUGAAAGCUAUGGGCUCAACCCAUAAACUGCAUUGGAAACUGUCAUGCUAGAGUGUCGGAGAGGUAAGCGGAAUUCCUAGUGUAGCGGUGAAAUGCGUAGAUAUUAGGAGGAACACCAGUGGCGAAGGCGGCUUACUGGACGAUAACUGACGUUGAGGCUCGAAAGCGUGGGGAGCAAACAGGAUUAGAUACCCUGGUA
rnacentral:rRNA from 1 species